GGCAGACGGGUGAGUAACGCGUGGGAAUCUACCGUGCCCUGCGGAAUAGCUCCGGGAAACUGGAAUUAAUACCGCAUACGCCCUACGGGGGAAAGAUUUAUCGGGGUAUGAUGAGCCCGCGUUGGAUUAGCUAGUUGGUGGGGUAAAGGCCUACCAAGGCGACGAUCCAUAGCUGGUCUGAGAGGAUGAUCAGCCACAUUGGGACUGAGACACGGCCCAAACUCCUACGGGAGGCAGCAGUGGGGAAUAUUGGACAAUGGGCGCAAGCCUGAUCCAGCCAUGCCGCGUGAGUGAUGAAGGCCUUAGGGUUGUAAAGCUCUUUCACCGGAGAAGAUAAUGACGGUAUCCGGAGAAGAAGCCCCGGCUAACUUCGUGCCAGCAGCCGCGGUAAUACGAAGGGGGCUAGCGUUGUUCGGAAUUACUGGGCGUAAAGCGCACGUAGGCGGAUAUUUAAGUCAGGGGUGAAAUCCCAGAGCUCAACUCUGGAACUGCCUUUGAUACUGGGUAUCUUGAGUAUGGA
rnacentral:rRNA from 1 species